CAAAAACAUGGCUCCUUGAUAUUUUAUAAUAGGGAGUCGGACCUGCCCAGUGAAUUUUUAACGGCCGCGGUACUCUGACCGUGCAAAGGUAGCAUAAUCAUUUGCCUUAUAAUUGAAGGCUAGUAUGAAUGGUUUGACAUGAAUGUAGCUGUCUCUUUAUAAUUUAAUAGAAUUUUAUCUUCAGGUGAAGAAGCCUGAAUUUAAUUAAAAGACAAGAAGACCCUAUCGAGCUUGAAAAGAAUUGAUAGAAUUGAAAAAUUAAUACGAUUAAAAAAUUAUCUAUCACAGAUUUUAGUUGGGGCGACUGAGGAACAUAAGAAGCUUCCUUUAUAAAUACUAGUUUAAGUCAAACUAGAAUUGAUCCAGAAUAUUUUGAUUAAAGGAAUUAGUUACCGUAGGGAUAACAGCAUUAUCUUUUUUAAGAGUUCAUAUCGAAAAAAAGGUUUGUGACCUCGAUGUUGGACCAGAAUAUCCUAAAGGUGCAGCAGCCUUUAAGGGUUGGUCUGUUCGACCAUUAAAAUUCUACGUGA
rnacentral:rRNA from 1 species